rnacentral:rRNA from 1 species
AUUGAACGCUGGCGGCAGGCCUAACACAUGCAAGUCGAACGGUAACAGGAAGAAGCUUGCUUCUUUGCUGACGAGUGGCGGACGGGUGAGUAAUGUCUGGGAAACUGCCUGAUGGAGGGGAUAACUACUGGAAACGGUAGCUAAUACCGCAUAACGUCGCAAGACCAAAGAGGGGGACCUUCGGGCCUCUUGCCAUCGGAUGUGCCCAGAUGGGAUUAGCUAGUAGGUGGGGUAACGGCUCACCUAGGCGACGAUCCCUAGCUGGUCUGAGAGGAUGACCAGCCACACUGGAACUGAGACACGGUCCAGACUCCUACGGGAGGCAGCAGUGGGGAAUAUUGCACAAUGGGCGCAAGCCUGAUGCAGCCAUGCCGCGUGUAUGAAGAAGGCCUUCGGGUUGUAAAGUACUUUCAGCGGGGAGGAAGGGAGUAAAGUUAAUACCUUUGCUCAUUGACGUUACCCGCAGAAGAAGCACCGGCUAACUCCGUG